rnacentral:misc_RNA from 1 species
UAUAAACAUAAGAAAUAAGGGCGUAGGGCAUACGCUGUCAGCUCGGGAGUUAUACAGUCGCAGUAGCGAGGUAGCCCAAGAAUCCCACAGUCUUUAGACGUGGGAGUGUCAAAAUUUAAUCAUUUGGAAAUAUGUAUCAAUCUAAAAUAGCCGGGCUGGGUAGUUUUGUACCGGAGAAUGUAGUUACCAACGACGAUCUUUCUAAACUUAUGGAUACCAGUGAUGCCUGGAUACAGGAACGUACCGGUAUAAAAGAGCGAAG